UACGUAGGGCGCAAGCGUUGUCCGGAAUCAUUGGGCGUAAAGAGCUCGUAGGUGGUCUGUUACGUCUGCUGUGAAAACCUAGGGCUUAACCCUGGGCCUGCAGUGGAUACGGGCAGACUAGAGGUAGGUAGGGGAGAAUGGAAUUCCCGGUGUAGCGGUGAAAUGCGCAGAUAUCAGGAAGAACACCGGUGGCGAAGGCGGCUCUCUGGGCCUUACCUGACGCUGAGGAGCGAAAGCGUGGGUAGCGAACAGG
rnacentral:rRNA from 1 species